rnacentral:rRNA from 1 species
CCAAGGAGUCUAACAUGUGCGCGAGUCGUCGGGUCUUGAACAGGCCCGCAGGCGAAAUGAAAGUGAAGGGCGACCUCGGCGUCGCCUGCGUUGGGAUCCCCGGUCCCCAGGGUCCGGGGCGCACCAACGGCCCGUCCCGUCCGCCACGUCGGUGGGACGGAGCGAGAGCGUACACGUUGGGACCCGAAAGAUGGUGAACU